UACGUAGGGUCCAAGCGUUGUUCGGAUUUACUGGGCGUAAAGGGCGCGUAGGCGGCGUGGUAAGUCACUUGUGAAAUCUCUGAGCUUAACUCAGAACGGCCAAGUGAUACUGCUGUGCUAGAGUGCAGAAGGGGCAAUCGGAAUUCUUGGUGUAGCGGUGAAAUGCGUAGAUAUCAAGAGGAACACCUGAGGUGAAGACGGGUUGCUGGGCUGACACUGACGCUGAGGCGCGAAAGCCAGGGGAGCAAACGGG
rnacentral:rRNA from 1 species